UAGGGAAUCUUCGNGCAAUGGACGGAAGUCUGACCGAGCAACGCCGCGUGAGUGAAGAAGGUUUUCGGAUCGUAAAGCUCUGUUGUAAGAGAAGAACGAGUGUGAGAGUGGAAAGUUCACACUGUGACGGUAUCUUACCAGAAAGGGACGGCUAACUACGUGCCAGCAGCCGCGGUAAUACGUAGGUCCCGAGCGUUGUCCGGAUUUAUUGGGCGUAAAGCGAGCGCAGGCGGUUAGAUAAGUCUGAAGUUAAAGGCUGUGGCUUAACCAUAGUACGCUUUGGAAACUGUUUAACUUGAGUGCAAGAGGGGAGAGUGGAAUUCCAUGUGUAGCGGUGAAAUGCGUAGAUAUAUGGAGGAACACCGGUGGCGAAAGCGGCUCUCUGGCUUGUAACUGACGCUGAGGCUCGAAAGCGUGGGGAGCAAACAGGAUUAGAUACCCUGGUAGUCCACGCCGUAAACGAUGAGUGCUAGGUGUUAGACCCUUUCCGGGGUUUAGUGCCGCAGCUAACGCAUUAAGCACUCCGCCUGGGGAGUACGACCGCAAGGUUGA
rnacentral:rRNA from 1 species